AAACUAUGACUGAGUGGCGGACGGGUGAGUAACGCGUGGGUAACCUGCCUCAUACAGGGGGAUAACAGUUAGAAAUGACUGCUAAUACCGCAUAAGACCCCGGGACCGCAUGGUUCCGAGGUAAAAACUCCGGUGGUGUAAGAUGGGCCCGCGUCUGAUUAGGUAGUUGGCGGGGUAACGGCCCACCAAGCCGACGAUCAGUAGCCGACCUGAGAGGGUGACCGGCCACAUUGGGACUGAGACACGGCCCAGACUCCUACGGGAGGCAGCAG
rnacentral:rRNA from 1 species